AUUGAACGCUGGCGGCAGGCCUAACACAUGCAAGUCGAGCGGAUGAAGGGAGCUUGCUCCUGGAUUCAGCGGCGGACGGGUGAGUAAUGCCUAGGAAUCUGCCUGGUAGUGGGGGAUAACGUCCGGAAACGGGCGCUAAUACCGCAUACGUCCUGAGGGAGAAAGUGGGGGAUCUUCGGACCUCACGCUAUCAGAUGAGCCUAGGUCGGAUAGCUAGUUGGUGGGGUAAAGGCCUACCAAGGCGACGAUCCGUAACUGGUCUGAGAGGAUGAUCAGUCACACUGGAACUGGGACACGGUCCAGACUCCUACGGGAGGCAGCAGUGGGGAAUAUUGGACAAUGGGCGAAAGCCUGAUCCAGCCAUGCCGCGUGUGUGAAGAAGGUCUUCGGAUUGUAAAGCACUUUAAGUUGGGAGGAAGGGCAGUAAGUUAAUACCUUGCUGUUUGACGUUACCAACAGAAUAAGCACCGCUAAUU
rnacentral:rRNA from 1 species